AGCUCAGAUAUGACUGGAGGAAUUAUGAACCCUGCAUCUGUAAGUGUUAUCUACACCUAAUGUCAUGAGACUGUUGUAGAAAUUAACCUCUUGAACUUGAACUACAACACAUGUGCAUAACUUCGAAUCUAAUACAAAUCAUCGAAAUAGUAUGCAUACACAUAUAUGGCAGCACUAAUUUUGUUCUGGUUGCCAGUACAUUUCUGCUAGCCAGCACUCCAUAAUAUUAUGUUCCGCUGCAAUGUGUGGUGAUCAGUUGAUAUGUGAAAUGUUCAUAUCAUCCAAGUGUGCCAUGGUGAUAUCAAACUUUGGCCAUAAAAUCAAACAGUUUGUAAGUUGUCUAAAUGGUUUUACAUGCAUACAUUUUUCUUGUCAUCUCAAAGAUGUUGCAUUGAUGCUUUCAAAUACUUCAAAAAGGUCAUGGUAUAUCACACCAACUAACAGUUUGACAGAUGUCCACUGCUAGCAAAUACUCCGUCCGUUCCAGAAUAUAAGGUGUAUUGAUUUCCGUGCAAGUCAACCAUUUGAAUAUUUGACCAAAAUAACAAUAUCCGCAAUUCCUAAUAGAUAAAAUAUGAAACUACUCCCUCCGUCCCAUAAUAUAAGAACUGUUUCAGUUUGAAAAACGUUCUUAUAUUAUGGGACGGAGGGAGUACUUUUUAUGAUGGAUCAAGUGAUAUAUAUUUCGUAUUGUGAAUGUUGACAUAUUUUUCUUAAAAUACAGUCAAACUUGCACUCAUUUGACUUUUGAAAAAACAAAUACACCUUAUAUAAAGGAACGGAGGGAGUAGCUAUCGAACUUAGUGAUAAACCAUGAAUGCGUUUUUACUCACAGUAGAGUAACACCUGACAUGCAUUUUUAGCUUGCUACAUCUAAUUCUUGUGAUUGAACUUCAGUUAUCUAAUGAUUCACUUGUGUUAUAUUCUGCAGGCCUUUGCUUGGGCCUAUGCUCGUGGAGAUCACACAUCAUUUGACCACCUACUGGUAUAUUGGCUCGCACCCCUCCAAGCAACCCUUGUAGGAGUAUGGGUGGUUACCUUCUUAACUAAACCCAAGAAUACCAAGGAGCAAGCAGCAGAUAAAAACAAGAACAAAAAGGAAUAAACUUCAGGAAGUGAGCCAUCGCCUGGUUGGGGAGUGGAUGUACAUACAGUACCAGCGCCUGGGUUGAAGUCCCCAUGGGCUUGAAUUUAGGUUCUAUUUGGCUUUCCUUCAAGUAUUCCUUCAAAGAAAGAAGGAUCAUUGUUAUUGUGGGAGUGGUGUCCACCAUUUUUUCUGGAGCAAGAACUCCAGAUCAUAUUAUUAUCAUUAAUUAUUCUAAAAUGUUCAUCGCCUUACCUCCGUCCCAAAUUACUUGACUUUUUAGUGUUGGAUACAUCCGUAUCUAGACAAAUCUAAGACGAGUAAUUUGAGACGGAGGGAGUAGUAUUUUUUUUAUGUGUGCUAAAAUGUUCCAGGCAUAUUUUGGGAAACAGUAGGGAGGAGAUGAUACAACUCAAUCGCGAUCAAGACUGUUGAACUCAUCACCUGUCUCGCACAGACUGACAAUUGACAUUUUGUUUUCCUGCAAUUUAUCAGUGUGUCCUGCAAGUCUCAUUCUACAUAGCGAGACUGGAAAUGCAGUGUGGUCUAGGUCCUCUAGUUCCUAGAAAACCAAUCAGUUUAGGAUAUCGUUGGCAAUAUACCAUAAGUUAAUACUCCUACAUGAGUGGUGAAUGCACACGAAUAACAAAACAUUCAGCACAUAUGAUGGAGCUAACAGCCUAACAAUGACAGCUGUUUCAACACCUAUACAGCUAUAAAACUGCUACUCCCUCAAUUCACUUUUGUAAGUCAUUCAGACAGCUAAAAAUGGGCUGUUUUGUACAUUAUCUGAAUUGUCUUCAAAGUCUUAUAAAAGUGAAUGGAGGGAGUAGUUUUCUUUAAAUUGCAUCGGUUGGUUAUCAGCAGAAACUCUCAAAAUUAAAACUGAUGGAUGUCAGUAUAGAAAAUCUGGUUGGGCCAGUGAUGAUGUUGGCAACUGACUACCUUUUGUAGUAUUGUCGCUGCAGUUCAGCCAUCCUGCUAUCAAACAAUUACUAACCUGAAAAUUCGACCAUGUUCUCCUUUUUCAGUCUAAUAAUUAUUAAGUGCCCACACACACAUCCAAUUCUGGAAGAUUCGUUUGAAGUAUUUCAUGUUAUAUCCCGUCUAUUCCCUCCGUCCCAACAUAAGUGUCUUAAGCUUAAUACAACGUACAAAGUUGAGGCACUUAUUUUGAGACAAAGGGAGUAUUACAUACUCCCCCCGUUCCAAAAUAGAUGAUCCAACUUUGUACAAAGUUACUACAAAGUUGAGUCGUCUAUUAUACUCCCUCCGUCCGGAAAUACUUGUUGGAGAAAUGGAUGAAAAUGGAUGUAUCUAAAACUAAAUUGCGUCUAGAUACAUUCAUUCCUCCGACAAGUAUUUUGGGACGGAGGGAGUAGAACGGAGGGAGUACUAAUUUAUGCAGUAGUACUCCUAUACCAUCCAAUUGGUUCAUUUGGGUUGAAUAAUCCAUAUCCAUAUGUAUUUAUACAACGGUUUUGCUAUAUGAUGUUCGUCUAAAAAUAUUGUACUCCCUCCGUUCUGAAUUAAUUGUCUUAGAUUUGUCUAGAUACGGAUGUAUCUAGACUCAUUUUAGUGCUAGAUACAUCCGUAUCUAGACAAAUCUAAGACAAGUAAUUCGGAACAGAGGGAGUACAUAUGAUUUUCUUCAUGCAGGGUUAAGAAAGAAAGAACUGGAAUUACUAGUUCCUGUAUUUAUUUGUGUUUCUUUAGUUAACCAGCUCCUUUGUGAAUUUGUACUUAGAACUUGGAGCUGGAGUUUAACGCCGGAAUAGCAGACAAGAAUUCCCCGCUCCAAAUGGGGCUGCAAGGGAAGGUGUAAUGGACCCGUUCUUGUGGUCCAGGUCCAUGUGCUAUGUUUUCUGUCUGUGUACAGGGAGGGCAUGCGGCCCCUUCAAAGGUGUUUAACGUCAUUCUCCUUGCUGCUGGUGGCCCAAUGCAGACCCACUACGUUCGUGCUAUUAAUUUGUUCUCACAUUGCUUUUCGUUUGUACUUUUUCUUUUCUUUUCUGGUGUGAGAUUACUAUCAAGCGGUUCCAAUAAUACAACAAAUAGAAACAUAACUUGUGCACAAAUAGAAAAAUGGGAGAAGGCGCAGCUUGGUAUCAUCCUGACAUGAUCAUUAUCGUUAUUAUUAUCAUUUUACAAAAAAAAGGCAUGAUUGUUAUCUUGCACAUGCAUCUACUUGUUAUUGCCGCUGCACUUUUAUCAUCGACGCUAUUGAGUCUCCAGAUCAUGGAUCGGAUCUGUCUAUGCUGACGAAUAUGCUUUGGAUGCGACCGAGACAUGUUGCUUGACAGUUGGGGAUGACGAAGGUGCAAUUUUAAGAUGUAGUAGAAUUUGUAGAACCCAUUUUGACCGAGAUUCAUAGCAUCAUUCAAGUAAAUACAAAUUAGGAUCGUCCUCUAAUGAUUCCUCGCAAAGAAAAAACAAAGAAUCCUUAAAUGAUCGAGAAAGAAAUGGAACGUUGGAUUGUGUCAAAACGCUCGCACAUGUUUGUCCGAUCGCUGAAGCAGCUCGAACCUCCAAUUCACGGCUCGUAUAUCAUGGUCCUGAUUGGAAAUAAAAGCUGGAGUACGAUGUAUAGUGCUCCCUCCAUUCCAUAAUGUAGUGUGUCCAUGUUUCCCGAGAUUCAAGUUUAACCGUAAACUUAAUCAACAAGACCAAUUGCGACGGGAGCAAAAAUUAUAUCACUAAAUUCAUAUUGAAAAUAAGAAAUCAGUGAUAUAAUUUUGCUCCGCUGCAGUCGGUCUCAGUAGUUAAAUUUACGGUCAAAUUUGAAUCUCAGAAAGCGCAAACGCACUACAUUGUAAAAACGGAGGGAGUACAUUUUUUUUCU
rnacentral:lncRNA from 1 species